rnacentral:rRNA from 1 species
GACGAACGCUGGCGGCGUGCUUAACGCAUGCAAGUCGAACGGUGAAGGGAUCAGCUUGCUGGUUCUGGAUGAGUGGCGAACGGGUGAGUAACACGUGAGUAACCUGCCCCCUUCUUCUGGAUAACCGCAUGAAAGUGUGGCUAAUACGGGAUAUUCUGCGCCUGCUGCAUGGUGGGUGUGGGAAAGAUAUUGUUUCGGUGGGGGAUGGGCUCGCGGCCUAUCAGCUUGUUGGUGGGGUGAUGGCCUACCAAGGCGGUGACGGGUAGCCGGCCUGAGAGGGUGGACGGUCACACUGGGACUGAGACACGGCCCAGACUCCUACGGGAGGCAGCAGUGGGGAAUAUUGCACAAUGGGCGCAAGCCUGAUGCAGCGACGCCGCGUGAGGGAUGGAGGCCUUCGGGGUGUGAACCUCUUUCGCCAGUGAAGCAGGCCUGUCCCUUGUGGGUGGGUUGACGGUAGCUGGAUAAGAAGCGCCGGCUAACUACGUG